CUCUAGUGGCCCACAAUUUUUCCCCCCAUGAGCUUCCACUGCCUUCCAUUCACUUAAUUUGUUUGUUUCUUCUUUUUUUUUUUUCAUUUUCGGCUCUGUUUUGGCUGGGGGAUUCGAAGAGAAGGAAGCAACGAGAGAGAGAGAGAGAGAGAGAGGGAGAGUAGAGACGGGAAGAGCAAAGCAAGGGGAUGACAGAGGGCUCAAAAUUGUGUUCGCAUAAGAGGAAGAAGAAGAAAGAAGAGUUAAGAGGAGGUAGGAACAGUUGACAGACUGAUUUGGGUAAGGGCAUUAGGAGAACGACCUAAGAGGGAGUUGAGCUUGAAAUUGAAUUUAUCAUCCAUGGUGUUUAGGGAUUAUGGAGAUUGAGCUUUGCAUCUCGAAGAAUCGACCUAAUGAAAUAUUUUGGGUGUUCGACCCGAAUAUGGACUCUCAUCGAGACCUACAUGCGCGCUUUUGGAUCGCGCGGCUAAGGAGUGUCCACCUUCCCGGCGAUGUGUGAC